AUUGAACGCUGGCGGCAGGCCUAACACAUGCCAGUCGAGCGGAUGAAGGGAGCUUGCCCCUGGAUUCAGCGGCGGACGAGUGAGUAAUGCCUAGGAAACUGCCUGGUAGUGGGGGAUAAAGUCCGGAAAAGGGCGCUAAUACCGCAUACGACCUGAGGUAGAAAGUGGGGGAUCUUCGGACCUCACGCUAUCAGAUGCGCCUAGGUCGGAUUAGCUAGUUGGUGUGGCAAAGGCCUACCAAGGCGACGAUCCGUAACUGGUCUGAGAGGUAGAUCAGUCACACUGGAACUGAGACACGGUCCAGACUCAGACGGGAGGCAGCAGUGGGGAUUAGUGGACAAUGGGCGAAAGCCUGAUCCAGCCAUGCCGCGUGUGUGAAGAAGGUCUUCGGAUUGUAAAGCUCUUUAAGUUGGGAGGAAGGGCAGUAAGUUAAUACCGUGCUGUUUUGACGUUACCAACAGAAUAAGCACCGGCUAACUUCGUG
rnacentral:rRNA from 1 species